ACKGCUCAGUAACACGUGGCUAACCUGCCCUUGGGACGAGAACAUCCCCGGGAAACUGGGGCUAAUUCUCGAUAGGUGAAGAACUCUGGAAUGAGUCUUCGCCCAAAAGCCAUUUGGAUCAUGCUUCCAGGUGGCGCCCAAGGAUGGGGCCGCGACCGAUCAGGUUGUUGGUGAGGUAAUGGCCCACCAAGCCUAUAACCGGUGCGGGCCGUGAGAGCGGGAGCCCGGAGAUGGGCACUGAGACAAGGGCCCAGGUCCUACGGGGCGCAGCAGUCGCGAAAACUUUGCAAUACACGAAAGUGUGACAGGGUCAUCCCGAGUGCCGACCGCUGAGGUUGGCUUUUACCCAGUCUAGAAAGCUGGGGGAAUAAGGAGAGGGCAAGUCUGGUGUCAGCCGCCGCGGUAAUACCAGCUCUCCGAGUGGUGUGGACGUUUAUUGGGCCUAAAGCAUCCGUAGCUGGCUGAACAAGUCCCCUGUUAAACCCACCGAUUUAAUCGUUGGCGUGCGGGGGAUACUGCUCGGCUAGGGGACGAGAGAGGCAGACGGUAUUCCCGGGGUAGGGGCGAAAUCCUAUAAUCCCGAGAAGACCACCAGUGGCGAAGGCUGUCUGCUAGAACGCGCCCGACGGUGAGGGAUGAAAGCUGGGGGAGCGAACCGGAUUAGAUACCCGGGUAGUCCCAGCUGUAAACGAUGCAGACUAGGUGUUUGGACGGCCACGUGCCGUUCUAGUGCCGCAGGGAAGCUGUUAAGUCUGCCGCCUGGGGAGUACGAUCGCAAGAUUGAAACUUAAAGGAAUUGGCGGGGGAGCAC
rnacentral:rRNA from 1 species